rnacentral:lncRNA from 1 species
UCAUAUUCAACACUAAGAACUCCUAUUGCAUCAAGGAAAGGAAGAGAUCAAGGAAGAGGUAUUUUGAGAACCAAUCUUGGAUUACGAGGUAAUGAAUUUCAAACUUCUCAUAUAUGGCAAGUCAAUUUAUCUCUUACUUAAAUUGAGAAAAUUUUGGUGAAAAGACUUGUAUUUAGGAUUUUCCAUAUCAGAUACUUUAAGGCGUUUAUAUGCAGGAUCUUGAGUAACUUUAGGAUAUCUGAUUUGGUGCUUUUCUAAAUCAGGGACAUUAGAAUUUUUAUCUGCAUAAAUCUUGGGAAUUUAAAGAUAUCCGAUCAUCCAUAUGCAUGAACACAUUCAUUGUUCUCUGCAGAUUAAAAGGCUGAUCUGUUGAAUAUUUGAUUGCUAUGUUAUAGCAUGAAACUGUUUCAUGAGUUUUGGAAAGUGCAAAAUGAUAGUCGACUGACUGCAUCUUUCCAGAAACAAAAAUAAUUCUUCUCAUUGAAUUGCAUUAGUUGAGGGGGAGUGUCAACCUCUAUAAAUUCCUCCUGAUGUGGUCUGUGAGAAUUAAGCUUUUUGUGAUUGAUCAGAGUCCUUGAUUUGGAGUUGAUAUUGAGUAUGAUCAAUUUGCAGACUGCUUGAGUGUGUUAUUUCAAAGACUGAGCCUUUCUCUCUUACUUGCAUUUAGGUUGCACUUGAGAUAGCUGAAGCAAAAGUCUGGUGAGAGAUUGAAGCUGGUUGUGUUGCAGAACUCAGCUUACUGGUUGUGUAAAAGAACUAAAGUACACUGAUUGUGUAAAAGAACUAAAGUACACUGAUUGUGUGAGAAUCAGUUUGGAAGAAACUAAGAGUGUUUAAGUCUUAGGUUUUGAUCUUGUAUCUAGUUGUGUGUAAGAACUAGAGAGCUAAGAGUGAUAUUAGUCUUAGUGCCUUUGCUUCAGUUUCUCUUUUUAGAGAUACAUGAAGUUAAAUCACUUGUGUGAAAUAGAAGUGAGUGUUGUAAAUAGAUUCAAGUGUUGAUAGUUGUGUGAGAACUAUUCCUCUUGUAAACUCUGAAUUAAAGAUUAAUUUGAAUAAUCUUGAUUAGUGUUUUUUCCCUCACUGAGGUUUUUGCACCAAUCCAUUGAAAAUCUUUGUCUGUGUUUGUUUCAUCUGUGUUUCAAUCCAUUUCAUUACUUAC